rnacentral:rRNA from 1 species
UCGCCUGUUUAUCAAAAACAUAACCUUUAGCCAAACAAGUAUUAAAGGCAAUGCCUGCCCAGUGAGUACAUCUUUAACGGCCGCGGUACCCUAACCGUGCAAAGGUAGCGUAAUCAUUUGUCUAUUAAUUGUAGACUAGUAUGAAAGGCCACAUGAGAGCCAAACUGUCUCUUAUAAUAAAUCAAUUAAACUGAUCUCCUAGUACAAAAGCUAGAAUAACUAUAUAAGACCAGAAGACCCUGUGAAGCUUAAACUAAACUAUUAAACCAACUAAUAACUACUUUCGGUUGGGGCGACCUUGGAACAAAACCAAACUUCCAAACAAAAUGAGCUAUACCUCAGAACCCUAGGCCAACAAGCCAACCAACGACCCAGUACAACUGAUCAUUGAACCAAGUUACUCCAGGGAUAACAGCGCUAUCUUCUUCAAGAGCCCAUAUCAAAAAGAAGGUUUACGACCUCGAUGUUGGAUCAGGACACCCAAAUGGUGUAGCCGCUAUUAAUGGUUCGUUUGUUCAACGAUUAACAGUCCUACGUGAUCUGAGUUCAGACCGG